GGCAUAGCUCAGUUGGUUAGAGCGCCGGAUUGUGAUUCCGGAGGUCGGGGGUUCAAGUCCCCUUGUC
rnacentral:tRNA from 1 species